CCUGUGGCUCCUGUAGCAAGCUGGAGGAGCAGGCUUACUGCAAAGAUGGUUGGAGAGAAGAGAUUGCACCUUGCCUGGGAAUAGCACCUUUCAUUUCUCCUUUCCUCAUUCUGCCAGAGGCACAGCUCCCGCUUGCUGCAGGCGAGAAGCUGAAGGAAGGUGGAAUUUGCCGAGCAGACUCUGGGCAAAGCUUGCACCCUGAGGUGGGAGCUGCUCCUGCAUCCCACAGCAGUGCUGCAGGAAGCAUCCCAUGGUGGGAGGAAUGAGGAGAGCAUCACCCCCGGCUGCAGGGUGGCCCCUGGCCUUCACAGUAUUUUCCCAUCAGAGCACCAUCCAGUAACAUCUCACCACAAAGAGGGGCAGAGCUGCCUCCUGCCUAGAAGCAGAAGCAUUCUGAUUUUCUCACCGUGUCUCAGCACUGGCUGUUUACAGCGUGUGCUACUUGCUUGCAGAGGGCUUGUGGGGCUGCGCUCCCAUGGAAGAAGACCCACAGAUGAAAGCAAAUCCUUUCUUAUGGCGUAAUGGCUGGUGGUGAUGAGAAGCCGUUCUCAGGUUUUGGACUGGAACCACUACAGAAAUAAAGAAGUCCAUACACAGAUUAAUGUCUUUUGAAAAAAAAUAUUUUUUUCCGUAGAUUGCACAUUCAAAACUUGAGCUGCACACUGCACAGUAUAGAAACAGCAGUUAGCCAAUCCAAUUACCACCAUGUAGAUGGGUUUUGAUUAGUUCGGCUGUAGCCCCAAGGUGUCAAACUCAUUUGGAAGCAUAGACCCGAGGUGUAAUUACAGUCAGUGGCCAAGGCGUCUCUCCUGGGCUGUAAAAAUGUUCUCAGUCUGCCCUGGAAAUACCACGUCAGAGGGCAGAAUGCAGUGGACUUUCAGGGAAAAAUACUGUUUUACUGUUCCAGUUAGUGGCCGUGGCUGCUCAUUUGCUCAUCAAAUUAUGCAUUAGAUUUACAUUACGCCUUCUUUACAGUUCCCAGCUCUUCCCCUUAGCUUUCUGCUGAAUGGAUCAAGCAGUGAACUUCAAGCACAAUGCAAUGAAGCAGGGAGCACAGGCCUUUGCAUCAGCGCUGGCAGGCUUUCUCUGCAGCCCUGAAGGCUACAAACAAAAUGAAAUCUUGGCUACACAGAAGUUAGUGCAAGUUUUAUCCCAACUCCAAUGCUGCCAGGGAGAGGGAGAGAUUUUAUGCAGGAUGUAGUUGGACCACUGGGCAUCUCUUUUCCAGGUCUUUGAUGCUACAAGGGCAUAGGUGGAGCACUGCAGUACAAACAACACAUGCACACAACUGUAUUUUCAUAAAGGACCCUGUCUGGUGUUACCGUAGGACAGCAGGACUGCUUCCACUGUUCAAACUGACUGUAGUUUUGAGGACGAGGGUGCAGUGACAGGCUCCUAGCUGGAAAGAGUAAUGCUGCUGUCCUUCCCAGAGUUGUGCAUGUUUUUAAGUUUUGUUGUUAAUUGGUGCUUUUUGCCAACAGGCAUACUUUAAUAACAGCUCAAACAAACAAAUAAAUAAAUAAAACAGUAUCUUGUGCUUUGUUAGCAUCUUUCGUCCAGAGUCUUAGAAGCGUUUUGCCAAGCCAAGUGUUACUAUUUCCUGCGAGUCAUAGCAGUCCCCAGAGCCUGACUCUGCUUCCUUUUAUAUCAAUAGGAGCAGGGCCAGCCCUCAAGGACUUGCCUGGUGUAACACAGUGAGCCGACGACAGACUGAGCAAACAUAACUCAGGUGCCCUAAUUCCUACUUUUCAUGCUGCCUGCCCUCAACAGCACCAGUUGCUCUGUGAUUCAAAGAGAGCAAGUUCCAUCAAAAUGAAAGAGAUCCCUACUUGCUUCAUUCCCAUUGCUGCUUUUAUGAUGUCUCCAUCCUUGCAGGGCACCAGGGUGUGCUUGGUUUACUGCUGUUGUUGCUGGUCAUUUAACACCUUAAAGCCUUCUGAGAGGUAAGUGAUCUAUGCAUGCAGAACCGCAUGCCUGCGUCAUAUGUCAACCUUCUUCGGGUUUUCUCAUCCCCUGCGUUGUAUGUCAGAGACAUCUGCAAGUAAAUGAGAACCUGGCUCUUCGUGCUGCUUCUCCCCUUUGCCCUGGGUUUGAUACCGUCACUACAACAACCCAGCACGGUGUCACGGAUGGUGGAGCACAGCGCUGGCGGUGCCCAGGGCCAGAAAAAAAGCAGCAGAAAGUGCCUGGUUUGGAUGUGUGCUUGUAACUGCAACCCAGCAGAGUGAAGGUGGAAAACUGGAACAGAACACUGACUUGAACGCUGUCCAUGGGGCGUAGGUAGGCUUUUCACAUUUCCAGUACAUUAAUGUCAGAAGGACUCCUUUCCCUAUAAAUGGGAUUGAGUUACAGUUGUAAAAAUACCAUGAUCCUCAUCUAAGAGGAUCCGUAACGUACA